UGAGGAAUAUUGGGCAAUGCCCGCAAGGGUGACCCAGCAACGCCGCGUGGAGGAUGAAUGUCGUAAGAUUGUAAACUCCUGUUAGAGGGGAAGAAUAGUACCGGUUGGACCGGUAUAUGACUGUACCCUCAGAGAAAGCCCCGGCUAACUACGUGCCAGCAGCCGCGGUAAUACGUAGGGGGCAAGCGUUGUCCGGAUUUACUGGGUGUAAAGGGCGCGCAGGCGGGAUAAAAAGUCAGUGGUGAAAUCCUACAGCUUAACUGUAGAACUGCCUUUUAUACUUUUAUUCUUGAGUUCGGGAGAGAGAGACGGAAUUCCAGGUGUAGUGGUGAAAUACGUAGAUAUCUGGAAGAACACCAGUUGCGAAGGCGGUCUCUUGAUCCGACACUGACGCUGAGGCGCGAAAGCGUGGGGAGCAAACA
rnacentral:rRNA from 1 species